UACAGAGGGUGCAAGCGUUAAUCGGAAUUACUGGGCGUAAAGCGCACGCAGGCGGUUGGUUAAGUCAGAUGUGAAAGCCCCGGGCUCAACCUGGGAAUUGCAUUUGAAACUGGGAAACUAGAGUGUGUGAGAGGGGGGUAGAAUUCCAAGUGUAGCGGUGAAAUGCGUAGAGAUUUGGAGGAAUACCAGUGGCGAAGGCGGCCCCCUGGCACAACACUGACGCUCAGGUGCGAAAGCGUGGGGAGCAAACAGG
rnacentral:rRNA from 1 species